AAAUAUUUACUCAAAAUAAAAAAGAUAAACUUCAAAUACCAUCUCUGUGGUUUAAAGUGUAUCAAGUUAGUGUCUUGUGAUUUUAUUUUUAUCUUUUCGUCAGUUUUUCCGUUAAUAUUUUGUUAAAUUAUAUAUAAAAAAAAACUUAAGAUACCUUAUCUAGAUUUAUUAAAUAUUCAGCUUAGUAUUUUUUAGUUUUAAUUUUGUCACUAAUUUAACAAAAAUUAGUAGAAUCGCUAAUAAAAAGGUAAAAAAAAAUUACAGAAUAUUAAAUUGGUACAAUUUAAACUAUAAAAAUUUAAAGUGAAAAAAUAUGAAACUACAUGUAGUAUUUGAAGUUUUUCCAAACAAAAACUAUGAUAAAGAGGAAGCGGUUGAGGAGA
rnacentral:lncRNA from 1 species